UGGGGAAUAUUGCACAAUGGGCGCAAGCCUGAUGCAGCAAUGCCGCGUGAGUGAAGACGGCCUUAGGGUUGUAAAACUCUUUCGCUAGGGAAGAUAAUGACGGUACCUAGUAAAGAAGUCCCGGCUAACUCCGUGCCAGCAGCCGCGGUAAUACGGAGGGGACUAGCGUUGUUCGGAAUUACUGGGCGUAAAGCGCACGUAGGCGGACCAGAAAGUUGGGGGUGAAAUCCCGGGGGCUCAACCCCGGAACUGCCUCCAAAACUAUUGGUCUAGAGUUCGAGAGAGGUGAGUGGAAUUCCAAGUGUAGAGGUGAAAUUCGUAGAUAUUUGGAGGAACACCAGUGGCGAAGGCGGCUCACUGGCUCGAUACUGACGCUGAGGUGCGAAAGUGUGGGGAGCAAACAGGAGUUAG
rnacentral:rRNA from 1 species